UGGGGAAUAUUGGACAAUGGGCGCAAGCCUGAUCCAGCCAUGCCGCGUGGAUGAUGAAGGCCCUAGGGUUGUAAAGUCCUUUCGGCGGGGAAGAUAAUGACGGUACCCGCAGAAGAAGCCCCGGCUAACUUCGUGCCAGCAGCCGCGGUAAUACGAAGGGGGCUAGCGUUGCUCGGAAUCACUGGGCGUAAAGCGCACGUAGGCGGACUCUUAAGUCGGUGGUGAAAUCCUGGGGCUCAACUCCAGAACUGCCUUCGAUACUGAGAGUCUCGAGUCCGGGAGAGGUGAGUGGAACUGCGAGUGUAGAGGUGAAAUUCGUAGAUAUUCGCAAGAACACCAGUGGCGAAGGCGGCUCACUGGCCCGGUACUGACGCUGAGGUGCGAAAGCGUGGGGAGCAAACA
rnacentral:rRNA from 1 species